rnacentral:rRNA from 1 species
UUCUAUUAGAAAUAAUUAAUAGUAAAAUCUGCUCAAUGAAAUUAAAUAGCCGCAAUAUAGUGCUAAGGUAGCAUAAUCAUUUGUCUUUUAAUUAAAGACUAGAACAAAAGAUUAAACUUUUAAGUCAAUUUCUUAAAAUUAAAUUAUUAACUUUUUCUAAAUGUAAAAAAACAUUUAUAAUAAAGAAAGACGAAAAGACCCUAUUGAACUUAACUUUAGUUUAACUGGGGUAGUUAAUUAAUUAUAAUUUUAAAUAAAUUGAUUAUUAAAAAGACCUAAUAUAAUUAAUUACAUAAUUAAGUUACCAUAGGGAUAACAGCAUAAUAUUACUUUAAAGAUCUCAUCCAAAGUAAAACUUAUGACCUCGAUGUUGAUUAAUAAUCUAGUUUACGCAAUAGUAAACCAAGAAAGUCUGUUCGACUUUUAAAAAAUUACA